ensembl:snoRNA
GCUGAGUUCUCCUCAGAGGGGGCUUUUCCUGUAGCAGCACAUGGUAGGAAAUGCCUCAUAGCAUAACUGUGGCUUUGCCUUAUUAACAAGGCCGUCUACUAGAUCUGUGGGAAGGAACUGUGAGAAACCU